rfam:TPA: Bos taurus chromosome 1, whole genome shotgun sequence.
UCCCUCAUGGCCCAAUGGUUAGAGCUCUGCACUUCCACUGCAGAGAGCAUGGGUUCAAUUCCUGGUCAGGAAA